GACGAACGCUGGCGGCGUGCUUAACACAUGCAAGUCGAACGGAAAGGCCCUGCUUUUGUGGGGUGCUCGAGUGGCGAACGGGUGCGUAACACGUGAGUAACCUGCCCUUGACUUUGGGAUAACUUCAGGAAACUGGGGCUAAUACCGGAUAGGAGCUCCUGCUGCAUGGUGGGGGUUGGAAAGUCUCGGCGGGUGUGGAUGGACUCGCGGCUGAUCAGCUUGUUGGUGGGGUAGUGGCUUACCAAGGCUUUGACGGGUAGCCGGCCUGAGAGGGUGACCGGCCACAUGGGGACUGAGAUACGGACCAGAGUCCUACGGGAGGCAGCAGUGGGGAAUAUUGCACAAUGGGCGGAAGCCUGAUGCAGCAACGCUGCGUGCGGGAUGACGGCCUUCGGGUUGUAAACCGCUUUCGCCUGUGACGAAGCGUGAGUGACGGUAAUGGGUAAAGAAGCACCGGCUAACUACGUG
rnacentral:rRNA from 1 species